rnacentral:rRNA from 1 species
UCAUCCUACGGGGGGCAGCAGUAGGGAAUCUUCCACAAUGGACGAAAGUCUGAUGGAGCAACGCCGCGUGAGUGAAGAAGGGUUUCGGCUCGUAAAGUUCUGUUGGGAGCGAAGAAAGAUAGAGGUAGUAACUGGCCUUUAUUUGACGGUAAUUACUUAGAAAGUCACGGCUAACUACGUGCCAGCAGCCGCGGUAAUACGUAGGGGGCAAGCGUUGUCCGGAUUUAUUGGGCGGAAAGCGAGUGCAGGCGGGUCAAUAAGUCUGA